CGACGCUGCCGUAGAGCCGCGGUGAUUGGGAUAUUUGUUUCACGUGACCUCCCCUCACCAUAUCCCUUCCAAGCACUUUGGGCGCUCCCGCGCAGAGACGUUUCUUUCGCUGUUGAACGAGCAUUGCGGACGGAUUUCAACGUGCCAGCUACGUAUUUUGGACGGAUUAUCAGCAAGCGUACGUGCCAGAACCAUGACUGGCUGCUGCGCCUUCGGGUGCAGCAACCGAAUGGAGUCUGGGAAGGCAUUUUUUUGCAUUCUGAGCUGAAAAAAAAAACGACCAGCAACGACAUUCGGCAUGGCUGCACAGAAUCGGCCGCAAGAGCUUCGCGUCUUCGAAGAACACCAGCUUGUGCGAGGUAGGGACUACAGUGUGCGGAGCACGCGGACUUGACAGCGUUGACAGGCUGACACGGUCCCGCUUGAUCACAGGUUGGAUCAUGACAUUGUCUCACGUGCAGGCCUUCGUUGCCAACCAAUCACCUCGCAUCAUGACUUGCUCCACGGUCGUCACAGCCAACAUCCUGCGAUUGCUGUUUGCCGACAUAGUCAACAGUUUACCCCUUUUGGACGCACCCUCACCUGGUGAACUUGUUCACUGAAGUUGAACCACAUUGGGAAAGUCUCGAGUAAAAACUGGCAACUUCAAUAUGCUGCUCAAUUUGCAUAUGAGAACUCCAUUGGGCAUGUAAACUGUUGUGGCAGUAUGGCGCUUAGUUGCUUCUCCAAUCGUGAUGCAGGUUUGUGCUCAUUUGUCAUUCUACACUAAAAGAUUGCAUUCCCUGUGCAUGCUGCUGUUCAUGUGCCCACAAGUAUGAUUAAUAUUGUAUCUGAAUCCUCUGUUGACAUUUAUUGUGCUAUAUUCUUGUGAGAUAGAGGCUACCCGGUCAUAAUACUCAUUAUGAAUACCUUCAAAAAAUCAACUUCCUCCUUAAUGAUUUCUGCGAUGUCACUUUUCAA